GACGAACGCUGGCGGCGUGCCUAAUACAUGCAAGUCGAACGCAGUGGGGACGGGUGAGUAACACGUGGGUAACCUCCAAUCAGAGGGGAUAACACUUGGAAACAGGUGCUAAACCGAUACUGAUGGAUGGACCCGCGGUGCAGUAGCUAGUUGGGGAGGUAAAGGCUCACCAAGGCCACGAUGCAUAGCCGACCUGAGAGGGUGAUGGGCCACACGGGGACUGAGACACGGGCAAGAAUCCUACGGGAGGCAGCAGGAGGGAAUCUUCGGCAAGGGACGAAAGGAGGACCGAGCAACGCCGCGUGAGUGAAGAAGGUGUUCGGAUCGUAAAACUCUGGUAGUAGAGAAGCGGUAUCUAACCAGAAAGCCACGGCUAACUACGUGCCAGCAGAGGCGGUAAUAC
rnacentral:rRNA from 1 species